rnacentral:rRNA from 1 species
AUGCCCCUGGACUUCACCAAGCACUUCAUCGCGGUGCCGAUGGAGUUCAAGCUGAGGAACAGCAUCGGCUGCUCCUGGAGGGUGACGGUGAAGCUGAUGAAUGGCAGGGUGACAGAUCAGGGUUGGGCCACCUACGCCGAUGUUCAUCAGAUCAAGAUCGUCUACAUGGUGACGUUCAAGCUCCUAACUCCCGACACCCUCAAGGUCAUCAUCUUCGACGACGAUGGUAUUGAGGUGGUCAACAAGUGCGGGAAGCACGACGAAGCCUUUGCCGCCAGGGACUAG